AGUUAGUAACACCAAUAAAGAUAACCCAAUGAAUUAAAAAAAAGAAGUGGAGCUUGCGGCUUAAUGUGACUCAACACGGGAAAACUUACCAGGUCCGAACUUAUUGAGGUAAGACAGAUUGAUAGCUCUUUCUCAAACUUAAGGGUAGUGGUGCAUGGCCGUUCUUAGUUCGUGGAAUGAUUUGUCUGGUUAAUUCCGAUAACGAACGCGACUCAGUCAAGCUAACUAGAACGCUGUCAGUAGUGUGCCUCCGGGCGCACCUGACGUUAGGAGUGGCGGGUGUCCUCACGGGUGCCCGUCACUUAGUUUUCCCUGCUUAGCUUGACAACUUGUGUUUAGCAAGAUGAGAUUGAGCGAUAACAGGUCCGUGAUGCCCUUAGAUGUUGUGGGCUGCACGCGUGCUACAAUGUGAGCAGCAGCGUGUUCUCGCCUUAUGGCGCCCCCAUUCCGAGAGGAACGGGAAAUCACCCAAAUGCUCAUUUAGUAGGGAUUGGGGACUGCAAUGGUCCCCAUGAACCUGGAAUUUCUAGUAAGUGCUAGUCAUUAGCUAGCGCUGAUUACGUCCCUGCCCUUUGUACACACCGCCCGUCGCUAAUACCGAUGGAUUAUUUAGUGAGGUCUCUGGAGGCACACCUUCCGCGAUUCCUUCGUGAGUUGCAGUUGGCACGGCCGAAGUUGACCGAACUUGAUGAUUUAGAGGAAGUAAAAGUCGUAACAAGGUUUCCGUAGGUGAACUUGCGGAAG
rnacentral:ncRNA from 2 species